GAUGAACGCUGGCGGCGUGCCUAAUACAUGCAAGUCGAGCGAACAGACGAGGAGCUUGCUCCUCUGACGUUAGCGGCGGACGGGUGAGUAACACGUGGAUAACCUACCUAUAAGACUGGGAUAACUUCGGGAAACCGGAGCUAAUACCGGAUAAUAUAUUGAACCGCAUGGUUCAAUAGUGAAAGACGGUUUUGCUGUCACUUAUAGAUGGAUCCGCGCCGCAUUAGCUAGUUGGUAAGGUAACGGCUUACCAAGGCAACGAUGCGUAGCCGACCUGAGAGGGUGAUCGGCCACACUGGAACUGAGGCACGGUCCAGACUCCUACGGGAGGCAGCAGUAGGGAAUCUUCCGCAAUGGGCGAAAGCCUGACGGAGCAACGCCGCGUGAGUGAUGAAGGUCUUCGGAUCGUAAAACUCUGUUAUUAGGGAAGAACAGAUGUGUAAGUAACUAUGCACGUCUUGACGGUACCUAAUCAGAAAGCCACGGCUAACUACGUG
rnacentral:rRNA from 1 species